CGUACCCAGUACUCGGGAGCGUCCCGUCGCGUACGUGCGCUGUCCUUGAGCUCUCCGAAACAAAAGUGGUGGCUAACAGCGCCGAGCACGUCGGCCUCUGAGUUUAAAGUUGGUCGGCGUCCGUCUCUCGGUUGCCCUCCGGUAACAGGCGGGGGUGUCAGGCGUGGGGGGCUUCCCCCUCCCCACCCCCGUUACUACGCACUGUGGGUCCGUCUGCACGGGAGCCGGACUGCCGAACCCCGCGUUGAACGCAAGUUUCUGARCUACCAAGUGCCCUAAGACGUUAAGUGUGGUUCAUAGCGUAAAGCGAUGCAAGAAGUAGCUACGCUCUCGGCUCUAUAGGCAACGGCUCUCAGCAUAACCUAUUCACUUUCUUCCGCCGCGUAGGCUGCCCGCUUGGGCGUCUCGAGCGAGAGAGCAACCAAAAGGAACCGCGUAAGGCGCGGCCCCCAAGCAAUCCCGAGUCCUCCCUGUGUUCUGCAUAGGUCGCGGGAGGACCUCGGCCCCGCCCCCCUCCGAAGGUGGGGGGAGGCGGUCACUUAAUUGAACAAGCGCCCAGCAAGACNAUCCGU
rnacentral:misc_RNA from 1 species